UUUAGUUGUGAUGGUUAAGGUUAGGGUAAGGGGCUAGGGAAUGCAUUAUGUCAAUGACGGGUCCCCACAUAGUGCCACAAACCUGUGUGUGUGUCUCCAGCUCACCAACAGUGACAGAGUGUGUACUGUGUUUCAAGCCCAACUCUUUUUUUUUUUUCCCUUCUUCUAUUCGUCAGAUAAGGUGAAGCGUUGCCGUGGUGAUUUCUGUGUUAGAGGCUGCAGACUGACAUGUCGUUUACUUUUUACACGACCCGGCAGACUUUACCCUCUUUUUGUCCUCGUGAGUUGCGUGUCCUCAUUCAUCAAAUAUCAGUCGUUGGCCUCGAAAUACAGAAGGAGAGUUUAACAGAAAGAAUCCACGCUGAAAAAAAAAAAAGCUAAUAAUCAAAAAGAAUGAUUAGUCUUUUGCAUUUCUAGAUGACAUCACGCAAUUUUAGUUUAAAGUCCUUUUUUCAUAAAGGGAGUCACAAAUAAAGAACACAGAAAUUAAAAGAUUUGCAGAUGUACAAUAAUAUUUAGUUUUUCAGCUAUGAAAAAUAAAAGUGAUGUAUCAGUAUAAUAUAAAAUAUAAUAUAAUAUAUAUAUAUAUAUAUAUAUAUAUAUAUAUAUAUAUAUAAAGAGAUUCUUAUAAAUAACUGGAGACAUAUUCAGAAAACAUGAUGAGGCUGAAAACCAAAAUGAAUCAGUAAUGAAAAUAAUUCUUAGUUGCAGCCUGAGAUAUGACUGUUGGAAGUUUUCCUCUACAGCCAAUCCCUUUGUUUGAAAUCUUGGCACCUUAACACUCUGUCACACCUCACAAACCUCCGUUUACAAACGUCCUUUCCUUUUAUUCAGGUUGUUGAGCAGAGAAUAUCAGUCAAUUCAAAAGUAGAAAUUAAACCUAAAGUUUGUAUUAUCCAAACAACUACUUACAUAUAAAACAGCGCUAAGUGUUCGAUGCAAAAUCAUCGUGGGGAAAUAUGAGCUUCAUGUAGUGAAAAAUAAACAGUAUUCUAUACAUACAUAUAUACAUUUAAUUUUUCAACGUGUUAUUAUUAUUAUGAUCCUGUGUGUGGGUCUGCCUGUAUGUGCCAACUUGCCUCUUAGUUUAAAACCAAAAAA